rnacentral:misc_RNA from 1 species
GGUCAGUCAGUGAAUCCACCGUCAAUAACAAGCACAAUAGAUUGUUAAAAUAUAUCGGCUCAUUGUUUUGCAUAAAGAACAUCUCAAUAGGCCAAAUGUUGAUUUUUAAGAAUUUGGCAUAUUUCAAGCUUUGAAGAAGCAUAGCAGCACAAUAUAUUAAACUCUGGACAAGCUUGCAACGGCAAGCUAACUCCUUACUCUUGUGCUGACAAGAAGGUUUAAUGUAAAUUGUAGCAUCCACUAGUGACAAGAAAC